GCUGCUGCGGCGGCGGCUCGCUGCUGCUGAUGGAGACGGCCGCGCGCUGCGGGAAGGGCGGCGGGGGCGGCCGGACGUGCGGCAGCUCCACCAGGCAAUAGAUGGAAGUGGAGAUGGAGAAGAUGGAGGGACAGAAAGUGAGGAGGGCUGACAGUGGCCUCCAAGUGGAACCAGGCAAAGCUGCCCCUGGUCUGUGGGCCCCUGCUUUCUCCCCUGCACAUAGGCCUGGUGAACGAGGAAAUACGUUGAGAUGGAGAAACCCAAGACUGAAGCCUGGACUGGUGAGCCGCUACAUGGCGGACAAGAGUCCUGAAGAGUGACCUGCAAAAACUAAGCUGUUACAGUGAUGCCCGGAGGUUUUUGGUGAUGCUUAUUACCACAGCCUUACCUAGCCUAUCCUUACAUACUAGUGAGUGGAUACAUAUACAUGCACACAGAAGUCAAAAAGAAUAAACAAAAU